GGCAAAGUCAUUUGGAAGCGGGGUGUAAUGUUUCAGGAAAACCUUCCAAUUAAAUACUGCAAAAAGAUAAAAUAACAGUAGCCUCGGCACUGCCCAGUGCUCGUAUUAAAGCCCUCUUUUGUUGAUUUAUUGUACAUUAACCACUGAGCCAUGCAAGGAAUGGGCCAUUUUAGAGGGGCUUCUAUUUGUAUGCAUCCUGCGUCUACUCCACACACAAUAAGGCCAGUGGUAUCGUCAUCCAGCUUGUUUAUUUCUGGAAGGCAAUCCUGACACACUGGACAUCAUGUGAAACCAUGAACGACAGGAGGCAAUAAGGUGGAGAAUAGCAGCAAUCUGGAGGAAAGCUCACCAUUCACUCUGGCUCCCUUAGCGCUCUGUCCUGUUAUCCAGCAUUAAAGAUAAAAAAAAAAAUCAAUACUGUAACACAGUGCCAGAUAAAAGCAGUGGGUGAGAGAGAAAGAGAGAGAGAGGCUCCCUGGUCGGAUAUGGUGAAUUAAAGCGAUCAGAAAUGUCUAGUCUACUCAGCCCCGCUCUACAUAACCUAAAGCAGUCUACCACUCUCUGUUCAUUUCCCUUCUUUGUUCACUUGUGAUUUAUUUUUGAGCUUUGUGAUGAGGUACAGUACCUGCACCCAUUUAGUUUCAAUUGCAGAUUAGUUAAGGUUUGGUAUAUUAGCUUGCCUUUCUGAGCUGUAUUAUCAACUUAACAAUAUUAUAUUGGGCUCUUGAAAAACAUAUGUAGUUCUCCUUCUUGUUCAUCCUUGUUGGGGCAAAGGCAUAAUGUACCUGUAGCAUAAAACAACAUUACAGUUUCAUUCAAACAAGUCAUGCCGAUGGGGGGCACAAGGGCACGUGUCCCCUCAGAUCUGUCCUGUUUAAAAAAAGAUUCACAUGUUAAAUUAACUUCCAGGCUUCAUUUUUAAGCCCACGAUCAUAAUUAUUUAUUCAACUAUUUGUCAGUGGUAUUUUGCGGAGGGGGCACACUAGCUGGACCAGACAAAAAGUACCCUCCCCUAUUCUCCCUAGCAAGUGGUUCCUUCCAAGGUGCACCACAAGAGCAAAGAUAUGCUUGGCAGGGCGCUAGAUACUCUAGUGCGUGCAGACAGUAUCGUCAGUGGGGGAGAAAGAGUGUAGAGUGACACACACUGCGUUUGAUUUGAUUUUAGGUGCUGGUGAUGUACAGGACUCGCAGGAGGUAUGUUUGUAAAUUAAUUUGUAGCCUAUUGAUUCCUUCUUGAUGAAUAAAUAAAACAAAAAUGUUUUGUUGUUUCUCUGUAAUACUAGCCACCUAGCAAUGUUAUGAAGUUGGCUUUAGCUAGCCAGCUAGAUAGGUUCCCAACCUCCCAACCUCAUAACUACACUCUUAGGGGGAAAAGGGUUAUUUGUAAGGCAAAGGGUUCUACCCAGAACCUUUAACAUCCAAAGAACUGAUUUUGGAAGAAACGGUUCUACCCAGAACCUUUAACAUCCAAAGAACUGAUUUUGGAAGAAACGGUUCUACCCAGAACCUUUAACAUCCAAAGAACUGAUUUUGGAAGAAAGGGUUAUUUGAUGAUUAUUUAGAAGGCAAUAAUUAUUUUUUUGGAAGGCAAGAAGGGUUCUACAUUUAGCCAUAUUUCCCAGUGUGCUCUAUUGUGUUUUUACAUGUGCAUUGAUUGGUUGAUUCAUUUAAUGCUACACAAAGAUAAAUAAAUAAAUAAAUUCUAAACUAAUCCAAUCUGUUAGUAAUUAUACCACUUAUUACACCUGGUACUGGGAUGGUUGUUC
rnacentral:lncRNA from 13 species